rnacentral:lncRNA from 1 species
UAUAGUCCCUCCAGUGCCGGCAUCUCCCCCACCUGUGGUUUCUCCGCCCGCUGCUCCAACAUCUCGUCAGGAGACUAGGGGUCAGCUUUCUCCCGUGCAGCCUCCCACCACCGUUGCUGGGCCAAGCAGCGUGUGUUCUCCUCCUGGGAUGACGGAUCCAGAUGCUCGUCUCGUCUUCAUUCCUAAGGAUGCGAUCUUUGAUGAUUGGAGAGUCAUCAAGGAGUUGAUCGAAAGGAUAAUACUGCCUCAGGAGAUAAGGAGCAUUAGCCUGAUGAACCUCAGUGCUUGGCAGCAAUU